GAAGGUGUAGCUCAGUGGUAGAGGGCGUGCUUAGCAUGCAUGAGGUCCUAGGUUCAAUCCCCAGUGCCUCCA
rnacentral:tRNA from 1 species